rnacentral:rRNA from 1 species
UGGGGAAUAUUGCACAAUGGGGGAAACCUGAUAGCAGCAACGCCGCGUGAGUGAUGAAGGUCUUCGGAUUGUAAAACUCUGUCUUCGGGGACGAUAAUGACGGUACCCGAGGAGGAAGCC